rnacentral:lncRNA from 1 species
AAUUCAUGGCCAUCUGCCAUAAAAGCCUGAGCUCAUUCUUCUCUUUCAAGCAAAGAAAAAGCUGAGUGCAGCUCUGGAAAAACUUACUUCAUACACUUGGCAAAUUGCUCCUUUAUUUUAUGGGAAAGGAUCCAGGUAAAGAACAGAUGAAGCAGCAUGACCCCUUCCGUGCAGGGGAGGCUAAAGGGGUUUGAGUGAAAACAAAAUAACUCACCAGUCAGUUUUGCUGCUGAGAAUAUUUAUUGGAAUAUCCUCAUGUAUUCUGGCUCCUCUCCAGAUAUAUUUGUUACCUAUGACAACCUAACCCCUGCAAAGUCUCAAAAAGGCAACAUAACACUAUGACCAACAUACUGAAUUCAAAGAAUAAUCCUCUUUACACCUGUAUGGGAACUGUUGAAUCAUGGCCUGAACCUCUGAUUGACCAUCUGAGGCAAGCGUUGAGUCAGCCAUGGGAGCAGAGGUGAAGGCAAUUCACCUGUGUGCCCAGAAGGGGUGGAGCCAGGCUCCACCUCUCCUAGACCCCAUUUAAGGGCUGACUGCCACUGAGGAAGGAUCUCUUCCUGGAGAUCGCUCCUUGCGGAGUUCCUUUGCAAGCCUACAACGCUGGUGAGCACCUUUUCUUUAUAUUUAACUAUUCUUACCAGCCUAACUUAUCUGUAUACCUGUUAACCUUACGACACCUCAAUUAAGGUACGCUGGCAUUUAGGUAACAAAACUCUUAAGACUGAUAUGCAUCCUGCUGAGUCACAUAUGGUUCCAUUUUAGCUGGUCUUUUCCAGGGUUAAGAAGAGGACACUGUUUGAGGACUGUUUAGGUUGCAAAAGGGCAAAUGACCAAAGAGUUCUGGGAAUCUUCCUAAAGUCAGCCUACUGUCAGACACAAAAGAAAGUAUGAAGCAGCACAGUUUCCCAUACUGUCUCAGGAAAUAUGAACUCACUCCUAGUAAGCCAAGACUCAAAAGCACCAUACAGGUUGCAAGAGGAGUAAGAACACUGCCUACAACGUGAGACUUCAAGAACUCCAGGAGAUCAAUCUACUUUUUGAUUUUUACUCCUUAGGAAUCACUGCAAUUAUUACCGAUACUCUUCAUGCUCUGACAGCACUCUUUUCUCAGCCCCGUAACUCAUCUGGUCAUUUCUCUUCUGUACUCCCAGACACUAGUCAGGGAUACUACGAAGCCAGUCAUCAACACUGUGAACAAAGAAAGCUCAAUUUUGGAGCCCUAACCCUCAAUCAGCUUCUUGAGAACUUACACAAGCAUGGAAUA